rnacentral:misc_RNA from 1 species
CAUCGUUUACUGUAGUGUUCUCGGCAUGCUCGCUCCAAAUCUUGUGAGAAACUGCGAGCCCAGUAAGCAACAUCGUGAGAGCUAAUAUAUCGGUAAUGCUUUUCGUGCCUCAGUUGCUUUUCUAAAGCAGGCAUGGUGACAGCUGCAUAAAGUGCAUCAGCUACGGCAUCAAAAUCCCAGGGGUUUACCCUGACUGCACCACUUAGAGAUGGUGAACAACCUAUAAAUUCGG